rnacentral:lncRNA from 1 species
UUUUUACGAGAAAAUGAACUAGUUGAAUGAGGGUAUUGUUGUAAAAUUAUUUAUUUCACUACUUGUCACACAAAUCUCUCCUAAUAUGGAGAGAUUUAUUUUUGGCAGUUACUAACCAUUAUAUUUCUCUCUUUCCUUAUUUCUCUCCUCAUCCAAACUAUAGAAAUAAUUAAUUUCUUUGCUAUCUCUCUCUUUCUUAUUUCUCUCUUUUGUAAAUCUACCUAAACAAACACAGUGUUA